GACGAACGCUGGCGGCGUGCUUAACACAUGCAAGUCGAACGGAAAGGCCCUGCUUUUGUGUGGUGCUCGAGUGGCGAACGGGUGAGUAACACGUGAGUAACCUGCCCUUGACUUUGGGAUAACUUCAGGAAACUGGGGCUAAUACCGGAUAGGAGCUCCUGCUGCAUGGUGGGGGUUGGAAAGUUUCGGCGGUUGGGGAUGGACUCGCGGCUUAUCAGCUUGUUGGUGGGGUAGUGGCUUACCAAGGCUUUGACGGGUAGCCGGCCUGAGAGGGUGACCGGCCACAUUGGGACUGAGAUACGGCGCAGACUCCUACGGGAGGCAGCAGUGGGGAAUAUUGCACAGUGGGCGGAAGCCUGAUGCAGCAACGCCGCGUGCGGGAUGACGGCCUUCGGGUUGUAAACCGCUUUCGCCUGUGACGAAGCGUGAGUGACGGCAAUGGGUAAAGAAGCACCGGCUAACUACGUG
rnacentral:rRNA from 1 species